rnacentral:lncRNA from 1 species
GGUAAUUAAAACAAAGACAAUAAUCCAUAAUACUCAUUACAUUGUCAAAAUCCAAACUUAAUUAAAACAAGGUAACAGUGGAGCGCCUAAGACAUUGAAUCAAACAGCCUUGAAAGAUAAGCAAGGCAUACCGACUCAAAACUGAAGAAGCAGGAACACUCAACAAAGUUCACCUGUUAUCAGAAACUAAGAACCUGAAAUAAUAUUAAGAAUGAGGGGUGAGUUCAACCAACUCAGUGAGGGAAUAAUAAUUAAUAUACAUUUUAGAUAUUCUUGAUAUUAAUAGUUCGCAAGAUCCUUUAUCUUGAUAUACAUAUACAUAUACAUACUGAACAUAUCAUAUACAUAUUAAACAUAUCAUUAUAACGUAGUGGAGUACAUGUCAGAGAUCAGAUGACACCCGAAGGUGACCAGAUGACACACAAAGGUGACCAUUGUGGGAUGAUCAGUCGCCACAGGCUGAUGCCUCUCUCACCAGCUAGGUAUACAGAAUACUAUGUGCACAUAAGCUAACUACUCUCCGUUAGCAUGGAGUUACUGACAAGUCCCAUAUCAAGGCAUAAUAGAUAUUUACAGAAUCAUCAGAAAAACAUAUAUCAUAUCAAAUAGAAUCUAGUUCGACAGAUUGCGAGUGCAAAUUCAAGAAUAAAUGAGUACUCGGAAAAUAAGCAACAUAUAUAAAUAUUCAAGAAAUUAACGAGUUGUACUCAUUGUAUAAUCAACAUACAUAUUUACUUAUCAUAUAUGCAUAUUAAAGAUUAUCCCACUCACCCGGAAAAUAUAGAACUAAAAGGAAUGUCAGACGAAAGACCCAAAAAUCCUAUUGAGGAUCGUUAGGAGAACCUACAACAAUAUGAAAAUAUACUCAAAAGCAACUCAAACAAGAGAUCCCAAUGCAUAAAAUAAAACCAGGUUUAGUCUCCUAAGUUUAUGGACUAAAACGACAAUUUUUCAAAACAGGGACCAAAACGUAAUUUUACCAAAAUUGCACCAAUCUAGAAAAUACAUAACUAUACUGAAUUUUCACCCAUAAACCAUCCUUAAUUCUGUCUAGAACGAACCAGGGACAGAACUGUAAUUUUCAUAAAGUUCAGGGACUAAAAUGUAAAUUCCCAAAAUUGAGGGACCAAACUGAAAAUAUUCCAAAUCAAUUAUCAAACUCAGAUUCAUCAUCCUUAACCUCAUAAUAACACUGUCCAGAAUCUCAAAAUACAAUUAGAGGUCAAAUUAUAAUUUUCCUAAAGUUUAGGGACUAAACUGUAAUUUCACAAAUUGAGGGACCAAAUUGAAUUUUUGUCAUCUUCAACCUCAAACCCAGAAUUUUACAGAUUACCUACUGUCAUCUCCUGAUUUCUAACACAAUUUCACCAUUCAAAUAAAAUCAUAACUCAAAAUCAUCAUCUUUACCUCCAAUCUUUCACAAUCAACUAAUUAACCAAUUACCCACAACAAUCAACCCAUAACAUUCCAAUUAAUUCAUCAAUCAAACUCAAAACACAAUAUUCAAAACCCUAACAUUUAUCAAAACAGAACUGAACUUAAAGCUUAAAGAACACACAUUUAUACGUAAUCUUACCUUUAAACUUAUUUCCUCCAAUUCUCUUCUCAUUUCCUUAUCUUUCCCUCUUUUCUCUUCUUCUU